GUGAGGAAUAUUGGUCAAUGGACGGAAGUCUGAACCAGCCAUGCCGCGUGCAGGAAUAAGGUCCUAUGGAUUGUAAACUGCUUUUAUUCGGGAAUAAACCUCUUUACGUGUAGGGAGCUGAAGGUACCGAAGGAAUAAGCACCGGCUAACUCCGUGCCAGCAGCCGCGGUAAUACGGAGGGUGCAAGCGUUAUCCGGAGUCAUUGGGUUUAAAGGGUCCGCAGGCGGGCUAUCAAGUCAGAGGUGAAAUCCCACAGCUUAACUGUGGAACUGCCUUUGAAACUGAUGGUCUUGAAUUAAGUGGGCGUUGGCGGAAUAUGACAUGUAGCGGUGAAAUGCAUAGAUAUGUCAUGGAACACCGAAAGCGAAGGCAGCUAACGAUACUUAUAUUGACGCUCAUGGACGAAAGCGUGGGUAGCGAACAGGAUUAGAAACCCGGGUAGUCC
rnacentral:rRNA from 1 species